rnacentral:rRNA from 1 species
GAUGAACGCUGGCGGCGUGCUUAACACAUGCAAGUCGAACGUGAGGGGGUAGCAAUAUCCUGAAAGUGGCGCACGGGUGAGUAAUACGUAGGUAACCUGCCCUGGAGUGGGGGAUAACAGCUAGAAAUGGCUGCUAAUACCGCAUGAGGCCGAGACACUGGGAAGUGUUUUGGCGAAAACUCUGGUGCUUCAGGAGGGGCCUGCGGCCGAUUAGCUAGUUGGCGGGGUAAGAGCCCACCAAGGCAUUGAUCGGUAGCUGGUCUGAGAGGACGAUCAGCCACACGGGAACUGAGACACGGUCCCGACUCCUACGGGGGGGCAGCAGUGAGGAAUAUUGGGCAAUGGGCGGAAGCCUGACCCAGCAACGCCGCGUGGAGGAAGACGGCC